GAACGCUGGCAGCGUGCAUAACACAUGCAAGUCGAACGGAAACGAUACUAGCUUGCUAGUAGGCGUCGAGUGGCGGACGGGUGAGUAACGCGUAGGAAUCUGCCUGAUAGUGGGGGAUAGCCCGAAGAAAUUCGGAUUAAUACCGCAUAAUCUAUUCGUAGUAAAGUGGGGGACUUUCGAGCCUCACGCUAUCAGAUGAGCCUGCGUAAGAUUAGCUUGUUGGUAGGGUAAAAGCCUACCAAGGCGACGAUCUUUAGCUGGUCUGAGAGGAUGAUCAGCCACAUCGGGACUGAGACACGGCCCGAACUCCUACGGGAGGCAGCAGUGGGGAAUAUUGGACAAUGGGGGCAACCCUGAUCCAGCAAUACCGCGUGUGUGAAGAAGGCCUGAGGGUUGUAAAGCACUUUCAAUUGGAAGAAAAGUUAGCGGUUAAUAACCGUUAGCCUUGACGUUAACUUAGAAGAAGCACCGG
rnacentral:rRNA from 1 species